rnacentral:rRNA from 1 species
AAAGCGUGCGCAGGCGGUUUUGUAAGACUGUCGUGAAAUCCCCGGGCUCAACCUGGGAAUGGCGAUGGUGACUGCAAGGCUAGAGUUUGGCAGAGGGGGGUAUAAUUCCACGUGUAGCAGUGAAAUGCGUAGAUAUGUGGAGGAACACCGAUGGCGAAGGCAGCCCCCUGGGUCAAAACUGACGCUCAUGCACGAAAGCGUGGGGAGCAAACAGGAUUAGAUACCCCAGU